AUUGAACGCUGGCGGCAGGCCUAACACAUGCAAGUCGAACGAGUGGCGGACGGGUGACCAAUGUCUGGGCAACUGCCCGAUGGAGGGGGAUAACUCCUGGAAACGGUAGCUAAUACCGCAUACCUUCGUAUGUGCCCAGAUGGGAUUCGCUUGUGGGUGGGGUAAAGGCUCACCUAGGCGACGAUCCGUAACUGGUCUGAGAGGAUGACGAGUCACACUGGAACUGAGACACGGUCCAGACUCCUACGGGAGGCAGCAGUGGGGAAGAGGGCACAAUGGGCGCAAGCCUGAUGCAGCCAUGCCGCGUGUAUGAAGAAUGCCUUCGGGUUGUAAAGUACUUUAAGCAGGGAGGCGUUACCCGCAGAAGAAGCACCGGCUAACUCCGUGCCAGCAGCCGCGGUAAUAC
rnacentral:rRNA from 1 species